rnacentral:pre_miRNA from 1 species
AUUUGGUCAAAUAAUACACUGAACUAACCACCUAAAUACACAUGACUAACCAUAAAACACAUAACCGUGUAAACUCAGUUGAAAUUCCUAAAUUCAAUUUUACACGGUUUUGUGCUUUAUGGUUAGUCAUGUGUAUUUAGGUGGUUAGUUCAGUGUAUUAUUUGGCCAAAU